rnacentral:tRNA from 1 species
GGUAAAAUGGCUGAAAAUUUAGGCGAUAAAUUGUAAAUUUAUUUAUGAGAAAUAUCUCUUUUACU